CUUGAUCGAACCCAGCCACAACGGCUCAUCCCGCUCCUGGCCGUAAGCAGUCAGCAACGCUUGCGCCUC
rnacentral:antisense_RNA from 1 species